rnacentral:rRNA from 1 species
UACGUAGGGCGCAAGCGUUAUCCGGAAUUAUUGGGCGUAAAGAGCUCGUAGGCGGGUUGGUAAGUCCGCUGUGAAAGCCCGGAGCUUAACUCCGGAGGGUCGGUGGAUACUGCCAGUCUUGAAGGUGCUAGGGGGAGAUGGAAUUACCGGUGUAGCGGUGAAAUGCGUAGAUAUCGGGAGGAACACCGGUGGCGAAGGCGGUUCUCUGGGCCUUACCUGACGCUGAGGAGCGAAAGCGUGGGGAGCGAACAGG